AGAGUUUGAUCCUGGCUCAGGACGAACGCUGGCGGCGUGCUUAACACAUGCAAGUCGAACGGAAAGUGCUCAGCUUGCUGGGUGACUCGAGUGGCGAACGGGUGAGUAACACGUGGGUGAUCUGCCCUGCACUUUGGGAUAAGCCUGGGAAACUGGGUCUAAUACCGAAUAUUUCCUGCUGGUCGCAUGGCCUGGUGGGGGAAAGCUUUUGCGGUGUGGGAUGGGCCCGCGGCCUAUCAGCUUGUUGGUGGGGUGAUGGCCUACCAAGGCGACGACGGGUAGCCGGCCUGAGAGGGUGUCCGGCCACACUGGGACUGAGAUACGGCCCAGACUCCUACGGGAGGCAGCAGUGGGGAAUAUUGCACAAUGGGCGCAAGCCUGAUGCAGCGACGCCGCGUGAGGGAUGACGGCCUUCGGGUUGUAAACCUCUUUCAGUAUCGACGAAGCGUAAGUGACGNAGAUACAGAAAAGCACCGCC
rnacentral:rRNA from 1 species